GAGUUUACCAAAAUCGCUGCGCGCCCAGUUCGGCGCGUUGUCGCCUCAACGUCGAACCACACUCACGCCACCGAAGUCAUUAGUUUGAGUGUGCAUGGUCGUUCCAUAUACUGGUUUGCGUCGUCUUCUUAAUGAAACUUCUGUACGUUUGAAAAGUUUACUCCAGUAGUUGUUUCAAAAGUAAGAAGUGAGAACCCCGACGUCGCUCGAUGAUGACGUUUGAUCUUCUUGUUGUCAUCGUGUUCUCCACGCUAUGCCAUGGCGCUGAGGAACCUUUACAUCUGACCAUGGCUACAAGCAACUUCUACAGGGCUGGGUCAUCUUCACCAGUCCGCAUGGCUUGUUUUCGCAGCAGUCCUGACAAAGACGCUGCUCUUAGUUUCGGUCGACCUUUCCCCAUCGGCCUUCCAGGAGCUGGAAUCGAGUUCUCUACUUCCCUUCCUGAAGGCUCCGUCGCUGGAGAAGUCGAUGGACAGGCCUUCUGGCAGUUGCCCUUCAGCAAUAGGAAUGCAACAGGGUUAUAUUACUGCGAAGGAAGGGAGAGAGACCAGACGACUCGGGUGUAUGGCGUUAUUUACCACAU